rnacentral:misc_RNA from 1 species
GAUGAAUAACGCAGCGAAAUGCGAUAACUAAUGUGAAUUGCAGAAUUCAGUGAAUCAUCGAGUCUUUGAACGCACAUUGCGCCCCCUGGUAUUCCGGGGGGCAUGCCUGUCCGAGCGUCAUUGCUGCCCUCAAGCACGGCUUGUGUGUUGGGCUCCGUCCCCCCGGGGACGGGCCCGAAAGGCAGCGGCGGCACCGAGUCCGGUCCUCGAGCGUAUGGGGCUUUGUCACCCGCUCUGUAGGCCCGGCCGGCGCCAGCCGACAACCCAUCAUCCUUUUCAGGUUGACCUCGGAUCAGGUAGGGAUACCCGCUGAACUUAAGCAUAUCAAUAAGCGGAGGA